rnacentral:rRNA from 1 species
AUGAACGCUGGCGGCGUGCCUAAUACAUGCAAGUCGAGCGAACAGACGAGGAGCUUGCUCCUCUGACGUUAGCGGCGGACGGGUGAGUAACACGUGGAUAACCUACCUAUAAGACUGGGAUAACUUCGGGAAACCGGAGCUAAUACCGGAUAAUAUAUUGAACCGCAUGGUUCAAUAGUGAAAGACUGUUUUGCUGUCACUUAUAGAUGGAUCCGCGCCGCAUUAGCUAGUUGGUAAGGUAACGGCUUACCAAGGCAACGAUGCGUAGCCGACCUGAGAGGGUGAUCGGCCACACUGGAACUGAGACACGGUCCAGACUCCUACGGGAGGCAGCAGUAGGGAAUCUUCCGCAAUGGGCGAAAGCCUGACGGAGCAACGCCGCGUGAGUGAUGAAGGUCUUCGGAUCGUAAAACUCUGUUAUUAGGGAAGAACAAAUGUGUAAGUAACUAUGCACGUCUUGACGGUACCUAAUCAGAAAGCCACGGCUAACUACGUG